rnacentral:misc_RNA from 1 species
UUAGAGACCUGCUCAGAAUUUUUUGGUUAUUGCUUCACUUAACUUUCAUUAUCAAAUUAGUUCUUUAAAUAAUGAUGUUGGCAUUAAGGCCUGUAGGUUCAUAACCUGAACAUCAUCAUCGUUUAUGCUGGUUCGUUUGUGUUCGAUCGUAAGAUUGUAAUAUGGAUGGAUAUACCAAACAGUAAUAGACAAGCUCUUUGACAUAUUGGGUAGUAAUUAAGUUGUAAAUGACGAGUAAUAGUAAUAACUUUUUU